UUCGCCUCUCGGCCUUUUGGCUAAGAUCAAGUGUAGUAUCUGUUCUUAUCAGUUUAAUAUCUGAUACGUCCUCUAUCCGAGGACGUUAUGUCAAAUGUAUUUUUGGAGCAGGGAGAUGGAAUAGGAGCUAAAAAAAUAAUAAUAAUAAUUUGAAGGUACAUCUGAUGCACCCCACAAAUAUUAUCUUCUUUAAAU